UACAGAGGUCCCAAGCGUUGUUCGGAUUCACUGGGCGUAAAGGGUGCGUAGGCGGUCGGGUAAGUCUGACGUGAAAUCUUCAAGCUUAACUUGGAAACUGCGUCGGAUACUAUUCGGCUAGAGGAAUGGAGGGGAGACUGGAAUACUUGGUGUAGCAGUGAAAUGCGUAGAUAUCAAGUGGAACACCAGUGGCGAAGGCGAGUCUCUGGACAGUAACUGACGCUGAGGAGCGAAAGCGUGGGGAGCGAACAGG
rnacentral:rRNA from 1 species